ensembl:lncRNA
CUUAGAAACCCAACCUUGGAAUCCACCCGAGAGAAACGCAAAGCAGAACGACGCGCUCUCCCAGCUGAUCCCCUCACGAGACGGAGAGCGGCACGACCUCGGGACCCCGGAGCACCGGACCGAUUCCUGCAGUCUCACCUCGCGAUCGCCCAACAAAAGGUAGGCAGAACCUGUUGAUAAAAUCCAAACUCUGCAUAGUUAUAUAGGAACCACAUUAGGAGGUGAGACUGUGAGAGCGGUUCGCUACGGGAUAUCUCGUGGGGACGAAUAGGACUGCAUCCCAGCAAACCCCAUAAACCCGAUUGACC